AGCAGCCGCGGUAAUUCCAGCUCCAAUAGCGUAUAUUAAAGUUGUUGCAGUUAAAAAGCUCGUAGUUGAAUUUCGGGGUCAGUAGGUCGGUCGUGCCACUGGUAUGAACUGGUUUUACUGAUUCCUCCCUCUUGAAGAACUGUAAUGCCAUUAAUUUGGUGUUGCAGGGAAUCAGGACUGUUACUUUGAAAAAUUGAGUGUUUAAAGCAGGCUUUAGCUUGAAUACAUUAGCAUGGAAUAAUGAAAUAGGACGUUUGAUCCUAUUUUGUUGGUUUCUAGGAUUGACGUAAUGAUUAAUAGGGAUAGUCGGGGGCAUUAGUAUUCAAUUGUCAGAGGUGAAAUUCUGGAUUUAUUGAAGACUAACUACUGCGAAAGCUAUUGCCAAGGAUGUUUUCAUUAAUCAAGAACGAAAGUUA
rnacentral:rRNA from 1 species